rnacentral:lncRNA from 1 species
CUAGGAGGGUGUUCUGCCAUCAUCACGUUAUGAAAAGCAUUUGAAAGAAAGGCUGACUGUUGUUGACAAGGAGGAGGGGAAACUUUAGGCUAAAAGAGGAAGAAAGCAGUCAGGGGAUAUUAUCCAGAAAGAAAACAUUUUAGGUGAGUGAUAAACGAUGAAGAAAUGAAAUUUCCAUUGGAAGGAUUCACCAGUGCAAACACCAAUAGCAACCAACACGUCAAAUAUGAAAUGCCACCAGAUGCCAUAAAAGAACAACUCAGGUCCUCCCUUUUAAAACUAAGUCAAAAUCUGGUAUAUUUCAGUGGAACUGAGUUGUUUAGCUUUAGAAGCCAUACAGUGACCCCAUAGCCCUACACUCAUCUCCUCUGUUAAUGACUCUACAGCUAUAAACCAGGCUUGACUAUGUUCUAUAAAGAAGACCCUCUCAAUAGACUAGAUUUCCUUAUCCACAGAAAGGAGAAAACUCUCAGGGCAAUGUUAC